rnacentral:rRNA from 1 species
CACGUAGGGGGCGAGCGUUGUCCGGAAUUACUGGGCGUAAAGGGCGCGCAGGCUGUUAUGCGAGUCUGCUGUGAAAUGUACCGGCUCAACCGGUGCCUUGCGGCGGAUACUGCAUAGCUGGAGUACUGGAGAGGGAAGUGGAAUUCCCGGUGUAGCGGUGAAAUGCGUAGAUAUCAGGAGGAACACCGGUGGCGAAGGCGGCUUUCUGGCCAGUUACUGACGCUCAUGCGCGAAAGCUGGGGUAGCGAACCGGAUUAGAUA